CAUAACCUCCCUUAAAAAUGGACAACCCUUCCUAAUAAUACCUGCAUACACUUCUGAUAAACCAAAUCAAACCUUAAACUCCUGGAGCCUUCAUGCUCCCCCAAAUCACAACAUCUCCCAAUUAUUUAAAAAUCUACACAAAUCUCAUAUCCAACCAUUUAUAGGUUCAGAGCAACACUAAUAGGAAGAAAGGAAACAUGAUAAAUUAACAAGCGGAAGCUAUAUGAUGACUAUGCCUCAUCCCCAUGUACGCCUAACCUCAACUAUGCAAUCCUGCAACUGGGCAUUUUAAAACGAAGGGCCCAGGGGAAAACAUUUGAAACCGUUAGAGUGAGUGGACAAAAACAUAAAUUUAAUGAAAAUAUUUAUGCUUUCCCAAUUUACAUUUCCAUAGAAAAUAUGCUGCAUGCGACAGCUCAAAAACGCUCAACACAAAAACUGGCAAUUUCAUAACUAGCUCCAGCCAGUCUCCAAAUCUCAAUAAAAUACAGCCUCUCAGGCUAAAAUAAAAUAUGUAUGUAUUACACUCGUCAUAUCCCUUGUAUGAAUUUUCUUGAAACAACAAAGACAAAUAGAAAAUUCACACAAGGCUACGAUGCUUGCGUCUAACGCUCACGUCACACCAUAAUGACAUUUUACCUCAUUAUGGUGGAAAAGACGGUGUAUAAAUAUACGCGCAUAUCCCUUAUAUAAAUUUUAUAUUUAUAUAGGGCUACGACGAUUGAGUCUAACGCUCACGUCGCACCAUAAUGGAAUUUUACAUCAGUAUGGUGGAAAAGCAUGUAUAGCUAGCUAGCAUUCCCUCAUAUACAUAUUAUUCUCAUAAUCAUCCAAAUAUGGAUAUAUAUAUAUAUAUAUAUAUACUCUCCGAAAUUCUCAAUUUCGGUUAUUCUCCAACAAUAAUGAAAAUUGCCAAUUAUCAUAAAAAAACAAUAUGCACACGAUUCCACCGAAAAUCUCAUUUCCGGUAACUUUCCAAAUAACACGAUAGCCAUUAAAAUUGAGAACAUUUACUUCUGAAAAUGACUUCGCGAAAAUAGACAAUUCCACAAAUUGAUAUUCAAUAAAAUCAAUCAUUUAAUGUAGAAUCACCGCAUACAUAUAUUUUAAAACAAAAGUCCACUCACAACUUUAGGCCUAAGCCUGACGUCAAUCCGAGGUCUCUUCUACUCGAGCCUCCUCACGUCC
rnacentral:lncRNA from 1 species